GGGGCGUUAGCUCAGUUGGGAGAGCGCGACGCUGGCAGUGUCGAGGUCGCCGGUUCGAGCCCGGCACGCUCCA
rnacentral:tRNA from 1 species